UACGGAGGGAGCUAGCGUUGUUCGGAAUUACUGGGCGUAAAGCGCGCGUAGGCGGCUUUGUAAGUUAGAGGUGAAAGCCCGGAGCUCAACUCCGGAAUUGCCUUUAAGACUGCAUCGCUUGAAUCCGGGAGAGGUGAGUGGAAUUCCGAGUGUAGAGGUGAAAUUCGUAGAUAUUCGCAAGAACACCAGUGGCGAAGGCGGCUCACUGGCCCGAUACUGACGCUGAGGUGCGAAAGCGUGGGGAGCAAACAGG
rnacentral:rRNA from 1 species